rnacentral:lncRNA from 1 species
UCAUGAUGUUGGAAAGCCUUCGCUGGGAAGGGGACAUCAUUUUCAGUAGAAAAUGAGAUGCAUUUUAAGAAGUUAAAUUGGCACAGAGGUUGGCAAAGAAGUUUAAUUGAAAGCAUGUUAGGAGCGGCGUUGUUCCGAAAUCUGAGGGGCGGAGUCGACACGUAGAGCGGCUUUGCGCGUGCGCAUCAGCUAGGCGGUUAGAUUUGAAUACUUCUCUGAGUUUGGCUGGGCGUUGUGAGGUGACGUUUUUGCUGAAGAGCGCGCGGACCCCAAACAAGUUAAGCUGGUGGGCUGUGGCAGGAAAAAAAGUUUUCUUAAAAUAUGGAUGGGGUGUCUUCAGAGACUAAUGAAGAAAAGUAAGUUCAUGAUUCCGUGUAUCUAAAAACGUUAUAUUCUAUUAGAGAAUG